CGUAUCGCGCUGGGAGAAGCCACAUCGUUGUGGUGCCGAAGGAGCAACCGCCCCGGAAACUCUCAGGCAAAAGGACCAGCGCGAGGUU
rfam:Martelella endophytica strain YC6887, complete genome.